UUUCAGAUUUAAGAAUAUUACACCAGGUUGGUUACAACUUCUGUGUACAUGGACUUCUGUGGAAUGGAAUAAAUCUUUUGCUGACUACCUCAUGGCCAAAGACAUUGGAGUCUACUUCUUCCGGAUUCCAGCAUAUACAGAAGACCAGCUGAGACACCCAGCCUCAUGGAACUGAGCA